rnacentral:rRNA from 1 species
UACGUAGGGACCGAGCGUUGUCCGGAAUCAUUGGGCGUAAAGAGCGUGUAGGCGGCUUGCUAAGUCUUGCGUGAAAUCUCGGGGCUCAACCCCGAGCGGUCGUGGGAAACUGGCAGGCUAGAGUCCGGAAGAGGAAAGUGGAAUUCCUGGUGUAGCGGUGAAAUGCGCAGAUAUCAGGAAGAACACCCGUGGCGAAGGCGGCUUCUGGGACGGUACUGACGCUGAGACGCGAAAGCGUGGGGAGCGAACAGG